AGCAGCCGCGGUAAUUCCAGCUCCAAUAGCGUAUAUUAAAGUUGUUGCAGUUAAAAAGCUCGUAGUUGAAUUUCGGGAUCAAUGUUUCGGUCAUGCCGUUGGUAUGUACUGAUAUUAUUGGUUUCUCACCUUCUAAAGAACCGUAAUGCCAUUAAUUUGGUGUCACGGGGAAUUAGGACUGUUACCUUGAAAAAAUUAGAGUGUUUAAAGCAGGCUUACGCUUGAAUACAUUAGCAUGGAAUAAUGAAAUAGGACAUCCGAUUCUAUUUUGUUGGUUUCUAGGAUCGAUGUAAUGAUUAAUAGGGAUAGUUGGGGGCAUUAGUAUUCAAUUGUCAGAGGUGAAAUUCUUGGAUUUAUUGAAGACUAACUACUGCGAAAGCAUUUGCCAAGGAUGUUUUCAUUAAUCAAGAACGAAAGUUAGGGGAUCGAAGACGAUCAGAUACCGUCGUAGUCUUAACCAUAAACUAUGCCGACUAGGGAUCGGAUGAUGUUAAUUUUUUAAUGACUCGUUUGGCACCUU
rnacentral:rRNA from 1 species